rnacentral:rRNA from 1 species
UACGAAGGGGGCUAGCGUUGUUCGGAAUUACUGGGCGUAAAGCGCACGUAGGCGGAUUGUUAAGUUAGGGGUGAAAUCCCAGGGCUCAACCCUGGAACUGCCUCUAAUACUGGCAAUCUCGAGUCCGAGAGAGGUGAGUGGAAUUCCGAGUGUAGAGGUGAAAUUCGUAGAUAUUCGGAGGAACACCAGUGGCGAAGGCGGCUCACUGGCUCGGUACUGACGCUGAGGUGCGAAAGCGUGGGGAGCAAACAGGG